rnacentral:rRNA from 1 species
AACGAACGCUGGCGGCAUGCCUAACGCAUGCAAGUCGAACGAUUGCCUUCGGGUGAUAGUGGCGCACGGGUGCGUAACGCGUGGGAAUCUGCCCUUAGGUUCGGAAUAACAGCUGGAAACGGCUGCUAAUACCGGAUGAUAUCGCGAGAUCAAAGAUUUAUCGCCUGAGGAUGAGCCCGCGUUGGAUUAGGUAGUUGGUGGGGUAAAGGCCUACCAAGCCGACGAUCCAUAGCUGGUCUGAGAGGAUGAUCAGCCACACUGGGACUGAGACACGGCCCAGACUCCUACGGGAGGCAGCAGUGGGGAAUAUUGGACAAUGGGCGCAAGCCUGAUCCAGCAAUGCCGUGUGAGUGAUGAAGGCCCUAGGGUUGUAAAGCUCUUUUACCCGGGAAGAUAAUGACUGUACCGGGAGAAUAAGCCCCGGCUAACUCCGUG